CAUUUAAAUUUAAAAGUAAAUGAAAUUUAAGUGAAGGCAUUCUCAGGCUACAAGCUUAAACGAAUUUUCUUCAUGAUGUUCAUGUUUUUUGUUGUGUUGUAAUAAUUUUUUUUUACUUACGAAAUGGAGGUGUCAAGUUUGCUUUCUUUUUUGAGUCCAAAUUAUCAACAUUAUCCUUAUGUUUAAUGUUUUCCUCUAAUAGAUUUGAUGUCGUGAGGUGUCCGAUUGUGGAUCAGAGAGAAAUCAAUGUCCAAACGUUGAAAUUUUUGUGCGUGGUAAAAUGGAUUCCAGAGUAACUCUUUUUCGGGAAGUGAUUAAGAAAUCAAAUUAUUUGUCCAGAUACCUGAUUGACGCUGAAUGAGGAUUGUACAUCAGUCAGUCAGUCCUUACAUUCAUUAGAAUAUCUAAUUUGAACAAAAUAUAAAAACCAUAACAACUUGUGUCGAUUCUUUUAAUUUGUAUGUAUACACACUCGUACAUAACAUAAAAGCAUGGGAAUGUUCUUCAACCGUUUGAAUUAAUGUAUUCCAUACUGAAUUACUAGAUAAUGGGUUCGGCAACCCAACGGUGUGUCUGUAAUACCUUGAGCUUUUAUCCUGGCAUAAGUGAGAAAAUAUAUGUAUGUAUAUUAUUGUAUCUUUGCAGAUCUGAAGAUAUAUAUA